AGUGGGAUGGUUGCAUAUAUAC
rnacentral:miRNA from 1 species